AAGAAAAUGCACUCUUUUGUUUUAGUUAUAUUAGUUCAUAUUUUUUCUAAGGGAAAAUACUAAAUAUUGGAUUUAGUGGAAAUAUUGACUUGCAUUUUUCCAAUUGCAGAUUAUUCGUUUUACAUACCAAUAGACUACGUGCAUUGAGCGUCAACAUAAUAAUGACUUGGCGAGUACUUGACGUCGGUCCACUUGACUAA